ensembl:snRNA U6 U6 spliceosomal RNA
GUGCUUGCUUUGGCAGCGCAUAUACUAAAAUCGGAACAAUACAGAAAAGAUUAGCGUGGGCCCUGCACAAGGAUGACACGCAAAUUCAUGAAGCAUUCCAUAUUUUU